rnacentral:lncRNA from 1 species
AUGGUGAAAUUGAAGCUCAGAAAGAUGCUCAAGGUCACACAGCCAGGGAGUGACAAUCUGGCUCUAGCACCUGUUACCUACCCUCUACUCUACUCUCAAAAGUCAGGGUUAACUACAGCUUCCAGGCUAAGAGAAGCCUGUUUCUGUGAAGAGGAGAGCAUGAAAUAUGUGGAAUAUCGUGCUGAGACCUUUAUCACAAGACAGAACCCAGAGGAUUCAGACAGACGAAGAAGUCAGGAAGCUUGCAUGUCAUAUCCUGCUGGAGGCACAAAAACCACAAGACUGAUGGUCCCAAGGAGAACUUAAUUGAGACGACUGGAGAAACAGGUAAUGUAAAAAGAGAAAAAUAAUUUUGUUUUUCUUGUGGGUUUUUUAAAACGGUGACACCAGCUGAGUUUGAUUAAUUUGCUUCAAGGACAAAAAGUUCAUUGAAAACAGCAGAGACGGCUUCUGGGUGUAGACAAAUGGAAAUGGCAGCCAACAAUGCAUUAAUACAAUUUCAGGUUUAUUUACCUACAGAAAGCUUAGAGGUUGGGAACUGCAUGCAAUACUGCAAACCACUAAAAACACCAUAGAAAAAUGAAACAAUGGCAGCGGCACACCAAGCGGUUUCAUUAAAUAUAAAACCAUGAAUGCAAUUUAAUUGGGAUUUCCUUCCAGGGCCAGCAGUGAGGACUCUUGCCCUGUCACAGCUGUGUCUUGCUUAUGUGUGAACAGCUACAUGCUGAGGGUCUUGCAGGCACACUUUACAUCAAAGCUGUAAGUCAAGCUACUCCAGUGACUUUAAAGCAAUUUAAAUAAACACCCCUCAGGGGAAAGAGGAAAAGCUGUGGUUGAGAAAAAUGCAGUGUUUGGAACAAUGAGAAGGGGCAGAUAUUACAGAGAACCACCUCAUCCAUCCCACAUGACAGGGCCAGGGAUGUGACUUUCCCAAGUUUCUCAGAACCAGGCUGUGGAUAACACAGCAAUGCAUGGCCCAGGUCACCUUUCAAGAAAGGACUUGCUGCCCAGCUAAGGGGAAUGUGGUCAUUGGUGAGCCUCCAACUGACAGCUUCUUCAGGGUCAGCCUCAGCUGCCUAGAGUUGCUUUGCCCAAAGUCUUACCCUUCUCAGAGAAGCCUCAGAUUGGUCAUUCAAUGACCAAGGAAGAGGGGAGUAGGCUCAGCCAUUACUGACACAGUAUCAUUCCAG